AAGAUUUUACCUUAAUUAAAGGAUCUGAGUUGCAUUCAGAAGAUGUGGGUUAGUGACCUGCAAGUCUUA
rnacentral:tRNA from 1 species